AAGUCGUAACAAGGUUUCCGUAGGUGAACCUGCGGAAGGAUCAUUAAUGAAUGAAAUUGGGUGAGGUUGUCGCUGGCCUUUCACCGGGCAUGUGCACACCUCAUUCAACCUCUCUACACCUCUGUGCACUUCUCAUGGGUUGGGCUGCGUCUGAAAUAUUGACAUGGCCCCUCUCAUGUGUUUUAUACAAACUAUACAAGUUUUAGAAUGUCUAUACAAUGUGUAAAAGCAUAUAAUACAACUUUCAACAACGGAUCUCUUGGCUCUC
rnacentral:misc_RNA from 1 species